rnacentral:rRNA from 1 species
AUCCUGAGUAGAGUGGCGCACGGGUGAGUAACACGUAGAUAAUCUACCUUCAAGCCUGGGAUAACUAUUCGAAAGGAUGGCUAAUACCGGAUGAAGUGCAUUGACAUAAGUUGAUGUAUGAAAGAUUGCCUCUUCUUGAAAGCAAUUGUUUGGAGAUGAGUCUGCGGACCAUUAGUUUGUUGGUGGGGUAAAGGCCUACCAAGACUACGAUGGUUAGCUGGUCUGAGAGGAUGAUCAGCCACACUGGAACUGGAACACGGUCCAGACUCCUACGGGAGGCAGCAGUGAGGAAUUUUGCGCAAUGGGGGAAACCCUGACGCAGCAACGCCGCGUGAGUGAAGAAGGCCCUUGGGUCGUAAAGCUCUGUCGACAGGGAAGAAAUUGAUUCAUAUUAAUAGUAUGUUUCAUUGACGGUACCUGUAGAGGAAGCACCGGCUAACUCCGUGCCAGCAGCCGCGGUAAUACGGGGGGUGCAAGCGUUAUUCGGAAUUAUUGGGCGUAAAGGGCGCGUAGGCGGUCUUG